ACUGGGCUUGCUCAGUUGGUAGAGCAUGAGACUCUUAAUCUCAGGGUCGUGGGUUCAUGCCCCAUGUUGGGCG
rnacentral:tRNA from 1 species